rnacentral:rRNA from 1 species
CGGGCGAUUGGGGCGGCGGUGGCCCUUAUACAUGCAAAGUCGAGCGGACAGAUGGGAGCUUGCUCCCUGAUGUUAGCGGCGGACGGGUGAGUAACACGUGGGUAACCUGCCUGUAAGACUGGGAUAACUCCGGGAAACCGGGGCUAAUACCGGAUGGUUGUUUCAACCGCAUGGUUCAAAUAUAAAAGGUGGCUUCGGCUACCACUUACAGAUGGACCCGCGGCGCAUUAACUAGUUGGUGAGGUAACGGCUCACCAAGGGAACGAUGCGUAGCCGACCUGAAAGGGUGAUCGGCCACACUGGGACUGAAACACGGCCCAAACUCCUACGGGAGGCAGCAGUAGGGAAUCUUCCGCAAUGGACGAAAGUCUGACGGAACAACGCCGCGUGAGUGAUGAAGGUUUUCGGAUCGUAAAACUCUGUUGUUAGGGAAGAACAAGUACCGUUCGAAUAGGGCGGUACCUUGACGGUACCUAACCAGAAAGCCACGGCUAACUACGUGCCAGCAGCCGCGGUAAUACGUAGGUGGCAAGCGUUGUCCGGAAUUAUUGGGCGUAAAGGGCUCGCAGGCGGUUUCUUAAGUCUGAUGUGAAAGCCCCCGGCUCAACCGGGGAAGGUCAUUGGAAACUGGGGAACUUGAGUGCAGAAGAAGAGAGUGGAAUUCCACGUGUAGCGGUGAAAUGCGUAGAGAUGUGGAAGAACACCAGUGGCGAAGCGACUCUCUGGUCUGUAACUGACGCUGAAGAGCGAAAGCGUGGGGGAGCGAACAAGAUUAGAUACCCCUGGUAGUCCACGCC